AUUGAACGCUGGCGGCAGGCCUAACACAUGCAAGUCGAACGAGUGGCGGACGGGUGAGUAAUGUCUGGGAAACUGCCCGAUGGAGGGGGAUAACUACUGGAAACGGUAGCUAAUACCGCAUACCAUCGGAUGUGCCCAGAUGGGAUUAGCUAGUAGGUGGGGUAACGGCUCACCUAGGCGACGAUCCCUAGCUGGUCUGAGAGGAUGACCAGCAACACUGGAAAUGAGAAACGGGCCAGACUCCGACGGGAGGCAGCAGGGGGGAAUAUUGCACAAUGGGGGAAAGCCUGAGGAAGCCAUGCCGGGUGUAUGAAGAGGGCCUUCGGGUUGUAAAGUACUUGCAGCGAGGAGGCGUUACUCGCAGAAGAAGCACCGGCUAACUACGUGCCAGACGCCGCGGUAUAC
rnacentral:rRNA from 1 species